GAUGAACGCUAGCGGGAGGCCUAACACAUGCAAGCCGAGCGGUAUUUGUUCUUCGGAACAGAGAGAGCGGCGCACGGGUGCGGAACACGUGUGCAACCUGCCUUUAUCUGGGGGAUAGCCUUUCGAAAGGAAGAUUAAUACCCCAUAAUAUAUUGAGUGGCAUCAUUUGAUAUUGAAAACUCCGGUGGAUAGAGAUGGGCACGCGCAAGAUUAGAUAGUUGGUGAGGUAACGGCUCACCAAGUCAAUGAUCUUUAGGGGGCCUGAGAGGGUGAUCCCCCACACUGGUACUGAGCCACGGACCAGACUCCUACGGGAGGCAGCAGUGAGGAAUAUUGGACAAUGGGUUAGCGCCUGAUCCAGCCAUCCCGCGUGAAGGACGACGGCCCUAUGGGUUGUAAACUUCUUUUGUAUAGGGAUAAACCUACUCUCGUGAGAGUAGCUGAAGGUACUAUACGAAUAAGCACCGGCUAACUCCGUG
rnacentral:rRNA from 1 species